CUGCAGAGAAUAUAAUCUACUCUAGCUAGUUUAAGCAGAAAAGAAUCUAUUUCAAUGGCCUCAGAACUGAUGGUUGAAUAACUAACUGGAUUUCGGCUAAGUUUCCAGGAGUCAUUUCCAAAGAACACAGCGCAAAACUAGGUUACCAGAGAGCUGACGAUACUGAUAUAAUCAGACAUGAAGAAAGAAGACAUAGAGUAUAUUAAAAUGCAAAAUCAACCAGCACAUCAGUGACUGUUUUUGGCUAAUUUCAAAGGAUAAACUGCGUCUGAGGGUAGUUGCAUUACCCGCCAAUUUACAAACAGUGAUCUGGACUCUAAAACCCAUACCAGGGCAUAUAACCAGAGCAUUAUACUGCUUUUCAACAUUCAGCGAUCCUGCCUUUAUUAUUUUUCUGGAGCACACCUACGCAGAGAGAGCAUUAUGCAAUUAUAGAUGCUUUGUUCCCGCACAAUCACGGCAAGCUAAAAUGCUCUUUGAUAGUCUCACACCCUUACUAAGAACAGUGGCCUACUCAGUUGCACAGAAAUAAAUGACCAAGACUAUCGGAUUCCUCAAAUGACUGCCUUUGAUGACUCUGCUGUUUGGGGUGUAACUCUGCUUGGUGAAGAGAAGCAGCACGACUUUCAUAGAGAUGACUCAAAAUUCAGAAGGCUGGUGCUUUAGCCACCCACAACUAUUUUCUGGACAAUUAUAAAUAUUUUAAUCCUGAUGCCAUGAUUAAUUGAGCAUCUGAUACAACAUCUGGAAGCCAUACUGCAUCCUAAGUGCCCACCAGCUUCGGUGCCUGUGGAGGGGACGGUAGGGUGUGCCAAGAAUCUCACCUGCUUGCUCUUGAACAGGACAGAGAAUUAACAUCAAAAUACAGAGGAGAAAGAUGAAGGCUGGAGGCUGGGGGGGUGGAGGGGUUGCUGUUUGUUUUCUUAGUAUGUUGAUAAAAUAUUUGCCAAGCAGGAGAUAUUGAACUCUACUGUAAGAAACUUCAAGCCAAACUCGGCUAACAAAACAUAAAAUUUGGCAUCAUUGCUAAGCAUAAAAAUAAGUAUUUCAUCUAAUAAAUAUAUGUUGGCUUACUGCUGCCUUUUAAUUUUGUCCUCCUGCCUUUCAUCAAUUUGUUAUUCAUUUGGGGCAUAGGCU